UACGAAGGGGGCUAGCGUUGCUCGGAUUGACUGGGCGUAAAGGGCGCGUAGGCGGUUUGCAUAGUCAGACGUGAAAUUCCUGGGCUUAACCUGGGGGCUGCGUUUGAUACAUGCAGGCUUGAGUUCGGAAGAGGGUCGUGGAAUUCCCAGUGUAGAGGUGAAAUUCGUAGAUAUUGGGAAGAACACCGGUGGCGAAGGCGGCGACCUGGUCCGAUACUGACGCUGAGGCGCGAAAGCGUGGGGAUCAAACAGG
rnacentral:rRNA from 1 species